AUAACAUAUGUUGAUCUAUACAUAAAUAUACAUAAUAUGUAUCAAAACAUGAGUCCAGCUACUAUAUUCUUAUGAGUAUAUAGUCUUUUGUACUCAUAAAUUUUUUGUCGUUAAAUCUAUUCUUUAAUCAUUUUCAUCCGUUAGAUUAUACUAUUUAACCAACCAGCCACUCAACCCUAGGGGACCCACUAUUAAUCUAACAGUAACUACUAGAUCUAAUAUCCUAACCACACAUUUUUUUAAUCUGAACGACUGAAAAUUUAUGAGUACAAAGAACUCUAUACUCAUAUGAGUAUAGUAGCCCCAGCCAUCAAAACAUAACUAUUAGUGAACAGGAUAAAUUUA
rnacentral:lncRNA from 1 species